GACGAACGCUGGCGGCGUGCUUAACACAUGCAAGUCGAACGGAAAGGCCCUGCUUUUGUGGGGUGCUCGAGUGGCGAACGGGUGAGUAACACGUGAGUAACCUGCCCUUGACUUUGGGAUAACUUCAGGAAACUGGGGCUAAUACCGGAUAGGAGCUCCUGCUGCAUGGUGGGGGUUGGAAAGUUUCGGCGGUUGGGGAUGGACUCGCGGCUUAUCAGCUUGUUGUGGGGUAGUGGCUUACCAAGGCUUUGACGGGUAGCCGGCCUGAGAGGGUGACCGGCCACAUUGGGACUGAGAUACGGCCCAGACUCCUACGGGAGGCAGCAGUGGGGAAUAUUGCACAAUGGGCGGAAGCCUGAUGCAGCAACGCCGCGUGCGGGAUGACGGCCUUCGGGUUGUAAACCGCUUUCGCCUGUGACGAAGCGUGAGUGACGGUAAUGGGUAAAGAAGCACCGGCUAACUACGUG
rnacentral:rRNA from 1 species